UACGGGGGGAGCAAGCGUUGUUCGGAUUUACUGGGCGUAAAGGGCGCGUAGGCGGUCGUGACAAGUCACUUGUGAAAUCUCCGGGCUUAACUCGGAACGGCCAAGUGAUACUGUCGGACUAGAGUACAGAAGGGGCAACUGGAAUUCUCGGUGUAGCGGUGAAAUGCGUAGAUAUCGAGAGGAACACCUGCGGCGAAGGCGGGUUGCUGGGCUGAUACUGACGCUGAGGCGCGAAAGCGUGGGGAGCAAACAGG
rnacentral:rRNA from 1 species